CUAGGACCUGCCUUUGAGGAGACCAGGCCUUGUGGGUCUGGUUUGCAGCUCUGGCACCACUCAGGGCCCUGCUCCCCUACUUCCCUGCUGCCACACGACUCAGCCUUGGCACCGAACCAAAGCUGAUGGAAAAAUUAACCAUCUGGAGCAUUGUCCAUCUCAUGGCAGAAAGAAAAUGACAAGGCAAAUGGUGCCCUGACUUCCAGAACUCAGCACAAAACUGACCAACAUCACUUCUUUGACUAAACCAAGUAAUAUAGCCAUUCCUAAGUUCAAUGGCAUGGGAAUACGUCCUCCACAGAAAGGAACGUGACAGGAAAGGAACUGAAACGUUUAGUGAAUGAGAACACAUCUCUACCAUCUCCUCCUAGGAUGACUUCUUUCCCAGAGAUUUAUCGCAUCACUCGCAUACCCAGGCCGGCUGAUAUUUUAGGAGCGUGAAUCAGAGUGUCUGGCAUGGCUUUCUCUGCAGCCGAGCUCGUCUGCAAGCAUGAUGAAGUCGGGAGGGGGAAGAACUCCACUUAUCAGGGAGGAAAUUUGUGUCAGUGACAAGUCUGCCUGGCAACAGCGCUACGAAAGAGACACGCUAGGCCCCAACAUCGGGGCCAAAAUCUUCACGCCGCUGGAGAGCGUCACGCUAAGCAAUUUUACCCCUUGGUAUGUCACUGACUUGCUGAGUCAUAUUUGGCAAGCUCAGGAUCUCUCUUUUCUCCCUGUUUUUCCAUCUGGAUAAUAUGGUUUAUAAAGAGCUCUAAGGCAUUCUGUUUCCAAAAAGGUAAAAGCAUACAAAAAUAAUUGUGUUGUUUACCAAAA